rnacentral:RNase_P_RNA from 1 species
CCAGAUGGCCGGAUGGCCGCUCCCCGGAUCGCGCAAGCCCCGGGGGGAGGAAAGUCCGGGCUCCACGGAAACACGGUGCCGGGUAACGCCCGGCGGGGGCGACCCUAGGGAAAGUGCCACAGAAAGCAAACCGCCCGGCCCCGUCUUUGGGCAGGCCGGGUAAGGGUGAAAGGGUGCGGUAAGAGCGCACCGCGCCGCCGGUAACGGCGGUGGCAGGGCAAACCCCACCGGGAGCAAGAUCAAAUAGGGACCCAUGCCGAAAGGCGGGCGGGUUUCCGCGCCGGGUCCGGGUAGGUCGCGCGAGGCGCCCGGUGACGGGCGUCCCAGAUGAAUGGCCAUCGACCGAAGGCUUCGGCCUUGGGAAACAGAACCCGGCUUACAGGCCAUCUGGCACG